UCUUGAUUUGUAAGUGAAUUGGAUUUGUAGUAGAGCUGUACAAAGUCAUCACCUUCAUUCUCUCCUCCAGAGUCAUCUGAAUCCAGUGGCAAGACACAGAUCAAGACAACUGGUGAUUGUCCUGGGAGUAGUGGAAGACUUUGGCCUUUUUAAGUGAACACCUUUCCCAGGUUCUAGUUUGUCUGAGGCAACAUUUAUUCAGUGCUUAAAGGCUAGGGAAGAAUUGAUGCAAAGAUGACCUAGCUUGCCUUCUCAAAAGAAUAAAUGUGAGGGAAGACCCAGAUUCUGCCCAGAACGGAAACAAUUGCUAUUUAGUCACUCUGAGCCAUCAAAAACCAAUCAAUGAACAAAUGAGGCUUGGGCUAGGCCAUAUUAUUGGACAAUAAAUGAGAGCCAGAAUAUGGAUUUAAAGGCAUAAAGUGGCUCCGUUUGUAUCUCAAUGGGCUUUAUCAAAAUUCAGAACUAUAUUAAAAAAAACCCCUAAAACCCAAAUGAGACAAGAGUUGAUUGUUCCAUUAAUAAAAAAUAUAAACUAAAUCAGUAGGGAAGAAAAACAUCUAGUCCCCAAAUCCCAAGAUAUUUCAAGUAUAAAUGAUCAAAAUUAAUACUCCUUUGGACAGAGGACCCACAAGUAAGGGUAUGACUCUCUUGGUGACGAGAGUAGAGGUGACCAAAGAGAGGUUGAGGAUCAGGAGGAGGAAGAUACCUUCAACAGAAAUAGUGAAAUGUAAGGAGGUAUGGAUUCAAAGGAGAAGAUAAUGAAUUCAAUUUGAGAUAUAAUGAGUUUCAGAUGCCUAUGGAACAUACAAGUGGAAAUGUCUAAGCUGAUAGCCAAGAGUAUGAAACCUAGUUUCAAGAGAUUGGAAGCCAGACUGCAAGGGAUUGAGAAAGGAAUGGGAAAACUGAAGUUGAAGAAGUGGAUGAAGUCACCACAGACAAGCCAAGUUCCCCAUUUUUUUGGUCUAAUAAUUUUGAGAUCCAGGCUGUGUUUUAUGUGGGGAUGCUCAGGAUGA
rnacentral:lncRNA from 1 species